UGCGAUCUUCCUUCUAGAGGAUCCUCUCACGCUAUAUACCCUCACCCCUUGACGAACUCUGAAAGCACUCCGACACAGGCGUGCCCCCUCAACACACGCACACACAACGUAACUGCUGCGUCAGUGCUUGCCAGUGGCGACGGAACAGUUGCACGCAGGCGCACAUCAUCCACAAGCGCUCACACGCGCACGCAACUCCAACACGCAACGCCGCACGUGCAACAUGGGCAAGGCUGAACAGAAGAAGAAGGAAAAGAUCGUUGAGGACAAGACCUUCGGCCUCAAGAACAAGAACCGCAGCGCCAAGGUGCAGGCCUAUGUCCAGCAGGUGAAGCAGAGCGUCGAUCAGCGCAACCCGCAGGAUCGCAAGUCGCAGGCGGAGCUCGCGGCGCGCCGCGCCGCCAAGGAGGAGAAGCGCGCACGCGAGGCUGAGUUGGCGAAGCUGUUCAACGAUGUUGACCAGCAGCAACGAAAGAAGCGCGACGCCGAGGCGGCGGAGACCGCUGAGGGGGACGACCAGUACAUGUGCCACCCGGAGGAGUAUCUGUUCCGCCCCGAGGACUUUGACGAAGUGGAGCAAGAUGAUGAACGACUGGAGGAGAAGUUAGAGGCGGAGCGUGAGAAGCUGAAGGAUCGCACCGACCUGACCCCCGUCACGGAGGCGUCCUUCCAGGCAUGGAAGCAGCGCAAGCGCGAGGAGGCGGCCGAGAAGGAGGCAGCGCGUGUGCGUCGUGCCAAGAGCGGCGACGGCAAGCUGCGUGGCUGGGAUCUCUGGCAGAUGGACCAGGAACUGUUCGUGGAUGACGAGAACGCCGACGAGUUCUAUGAGCGAGAGGAGCUGGAAGGCUUGGAUGCAGGCGAGGAUGAGGCAGCCUUUGACCUGUCCUGAGAGAGAUUUAUGCGCGUGUGUGUAUGUAUCUGUGUAAGGGUGCAUGUGGCGGUGUCUAGCUGUGGUGAUGAUGAGCGCUGAUGAAUGCUGAAGGCGAUCUGCGUCGUCUACGUUAUGCUUGCUUGUUAUACGUUUGAUGUGUGUGUGUGUGUGUGUGUGUGUCAGUGUGGAGAAUCUCCCAACCACCACCACGAACCUCGCACUCUCUCGCUGUGUUCGCCUUGUCCUUCGUCUGUGUAAGUCCUUUUUGUUUCCGUCUUUAAUCCGCCCCCCCCCCCCUCUCUCGCGUCUGUGAGAAAUGGGCUUGACGGAAGAGGAAGAAG
rnacentral:misc_RNA from 1 species